rnacentral:rRNA from 1 species
UACGUAGGUGACAAGCGUUGUCCGGAUUUACUGGGUGUAAAGGGCGCGUAGGCGGGAUAGCAAGUCAGUCGUGAAAUGCCGAGGCUUAACCUCGGAGCUGCGAUUGAAACUGUUAUUCUUGAGUAUCGGAGAGGAAAGCGGAAUUCCUAGUGUAGCGGUGAAAUGCGUAGAUAUUAGGAGGAACACCAGUGGCGAAGGCGGCUUUCUGGACGACAACUGACGCUGAGGCGCGAAAGUGUGGGGAGCAA